rnacentral:rRNA from 1 species
UACGUAGGGUGCAAGCGUUGUCCGGAAUUAUUGGGCGUAAAGAGCUCGUAGGCGGUCUGUCGCGUCGGCUGUGAAAACCCGGGGCUCAACCCCGGGCCUGCAGUCGAUACGGGCAGACUAGAGUGCGGUAGGGGAGACUGGAAUUCCUGGUGUAGCGGUGAGAUGCGCAGAUAUCAGGAGGAACACCGGUGGCGAAGGCGGGUCUCUGGGCCGUAACUGACGCUGAGGAGCGAAAGCGUGGGGAGCGAACAGG